rnacentral:pre_miRNA from 1 species
UCGUGGCACCAACCGGGACUAAAGGGGGGCAUUGGUCCCGGUUCGUGGCACCAACCGGGACCAAUGCCCCCUUUAGUCCCGGUUGGUGCCACCAA